UACGAAGGGUGCAAGCGUUACUCGGAAUUACUGGGCGUAAAGCGUGCGUAGACGGUUUUGUAAGUCGGAUGUGAAAUCCCCGGGCUCAACCUGGGAAUUGCAUUCGAGACUGCAAGGCUUGGGUGCGGAAGAGGGAAGCGGAAUUUCCGGUGUAGCGGUGAAAUGCGUAGAUAUCGGAAGGAACAUCAGUGGCGAAAGCGGCUUCCUGGUCCAGCACCGACGUUCAGGCACGAAAGCGUGGGGAGCAAACGGG
rnacentral:rRNA from 1 species